GGGCGAUUAGCUCAGUAGGAUAGAGCGUUGGCCUCCGGAGCCAAAGGUCAGGGGUUCGAAUCCCCUAUCGCCCUCCA
rnacentral:tRNA from 3 species